rnacentral:misc_RNA from 1 species
AACAGUUUUUCUAGAAAGGAGAUAGAAAAGUUGUUGCAACGACAUUUUCCUCUGUUAACCAUUUGACUCACAUGAUGUUUAAUGUUAUCCUCAUCUUUUUCUUCACAUAGACGAUAAUCCCAGAAACACAAAUGUAAACAGGGUAGUAUGACGUGUAAAGAUGCCAAGUUUACUCCUUUAUUCUGGCUGAAGAAGAGAGAACUUGGACACAAAUUUUCCAGCUUUGAAGCCAGAAGUUUCCGUGGAGGUCUAUAUUCCUCAUUGAAAGCUGUCCAUAAAUGGGACCCGCAGAAGACUGUGGAUUCUACACACCACGGUGGAAUAUUUAACUUUGACUUCUCUCCUGAUGGAUCUUUGUUGGCAGCAGCUUGUGAAGGACAGAGCAUCUUGUUGUUUGAUCCCUUCAAUGGCCGUCUGAUCGGAGAAAAAAGCAAAGCACACACUGACUGUGUCAACAUUGUUAAGUUUCUGGACUCUAGAUUAUUUGCUACUUGUUCAGAUGACUCGACUGUUGCUCUCUGGGAUGUCCGGUUCUUGAAACAUAAACUGCAUGAGCUUAAAGGUCACACAAACUGGGUCAAGAACAUUGAAUAUGACCGCAACACUGGCCUCCUUCUCACCUCCGGUUUUGAUGGCAACAUUUUCACCUGGGAUAUUAAUAGGUACACAGAUACUGAGACGAAGGGCACCAAGGUCUUCACCUACAAACUGUUGAUGAGAUCCAAGCUGUCUCCUGACUCCUCCAAGCUUGUUGUCUCCACCCAGAACGGUUACAUCAUAGUUAUUCACGACCUUGACCUACUAACCCUGGCAGAUGACCUGAAAAAUUUUCCUCCCUAUGGAUCUCCAUCUUCAUUCCCUUUCCAGAGGAAUCAGCGCCGGAACCGAGUGGAGUUGAUCCGAGAGUGGCCGUCGGGGGACAAUGCCAGCGACAUCGCCUCCCUUCAGGUUGUCAGCUUAUCCUUCACUGGGACGGAAUCAUUGCAUAUAUCAAUCUGUGCUGGGAAAGUCAUAGCAUUUCUACACACUGUCAUAUUAACUACAUGUAUUACUGGGACAAAGUCAUAGCAUUUCUACACACUGUCAUAUUAACUACAUGUAUUACUGGGACAAAGUCAUAGCAUUUCUACACAUUGUCAGAAUAACUAUUACUAGGACUUAAUUAUGGCUUUUCUACACAUUGUUAUAAUAACUAUUUCUGAAACUGAAUCAUGGCAUUUCUGCACAUUGUCAUUUUAACCUUUACUGUUAAUGUAAUGUUCACUGUGGCAGAAUUAUAGUACAUGGUACAUGUAUUUCUACUGUAACACAUCAGAUAAACCAAUGAUUGCAUAUUUAAGUACCAGCUCUGUGUGCAAACUAAAUAUAACAUAGGGAAAUGACGUAAAUGUGAAUUGACCAGAACUGAUGAAAUCUUGCGGGUCAAGUGUUUGUUCUGGAUAAUUCAUGGUGUUGUUUUUUUGUAGAUCCAUCCACAAGGCUGGUGUGUGAUGUCUAGAAAUGUCAGCAGGGACAAGAAAUCAGAGUGGACCUGCAUUCAUGACCUCCAGGAGCCAAUCAGGAGACGGGAAUCCCAGGAGUUUUCUGUGAUGCCCCACACUUCCUGUAGCCAGUCCUCGUCCACCUACACCCCUGCCUCAUCCUCAACUGCCCCCACAACGCUAGUUACCACCUCACCCUGCACAUCAACCUCCCCAGGGGCGUCCAUCAGGACCCAGACGCCUCGCUCCAUCAUCAUCAACCGCAGCUUCUCUGAUGACAGUGCAAUGGGCACAGUCAGUGCCCCCUCUAUAGUGAUCAAUCCACCGACCUUCAGUGUGGAAGGACGGCAGGUAUCGGACAACUCUCCACAGACCGCUAGAAGCGGGCAGUCUGCGUUAGUGAUCAAUUCCAACCCCUCAAGCGGAUCAGACGAUUUCCAGUCUUCUGUCACAAUCCACAUCACAACUCAAGCGGGGCCGUCCACUUCUCAGGGUGGGUGGAGGAACCUAUUGACCUCAUCUGAAACCUCCCCCCCGAGCUCUGUAGACUCGGACACCCACCAGGAGUGGGGGCUUAACCACCCAAGCGACCGUGAGAUUGAGUCUCUUCUCCAAGAUGAGUUGAGUUCUGAGUCCAGUGCUGAUGACAGUGAUGGUGAGUUUGUGGCUCCAGAGGUGCAGCGGAGCGAGGAUAAUCCCUCUGACAGACCCCGCUACCAGGAUCUUGUGGCAUUGAUCGUCAGGUACGACGUGACGAGGGGCAUUAUCGAUGUCAAUCAUAGGGUAAGACUGGGCAGUGCCUACGAGAGCCCCGCCGCACGGACAACGGACAGACUCAUGUAUUACACGGAGGAACCUAAUGUGGCUAGGGGGUUCAUCAAGGAGCUGUGCUUCAGUUCAGACGGCCGCUUGAUCUGUUCACCGUUUGGAUUUGGCGUGCGUCUGUUGGGAUUUGACCCGCUGUGUAGCGAGCUUUGUGACGUGGUGCCUAGUCAGCCAGUUAGACUGUAUGAAGUAGCUAACUGUCUCUCCCACAGUAACAUCGUGGUCACCUGCAAGUUCUCACCCAGACACUGCAUGUUUGUGUCGGGCUGUCUGAGUGGCAAGGUCAUGUUUCACCAGCCUGUUCUUUGAUUCCAGAAAUCUCAGCGUACUCUUUUAUUUGGUUUGUUAUUUAAUGACUUAUGAGUCUUUUUCUGAAAGCUUUUGUUAAUGACUUCACACUGUAGUAAUGAUCCUAACAGUGUGCUUGCGACAUGCAUUAAAAAUAUUGGACAUGCGCACAUUGAUGGUAAGUUUUUGUUGUGUAAUCUUGAAGCAUAAUAUAAAAUUGAAUUAUAUAUAUAUAUGAUAAACAUGCCUGGUGCUUUGUUUAGAUUGUAAAUGAAUGAAUGUUUCCACAUGUGAAUGAAUAAUAUUAAUAAAUCUGUCAUAUG